AUUGUUGUUAAACUGGAAAACCUAUUGGAAAGCACUGAAAUUUUUUAAAUUUAGCUAAAUAACAUUUCAUUACAGCAUGCACUGAAUUGUACUUUUUUAUAUUUCAGGUUUUUCUUUGAUUUCAUUUUAUAUUCAACAGAUUGCUCUCAAUAUUGGUGGCUUGGUUUCAAGUGCGUGGAAUAGAAGAUUGCUAUACCUGUAGAUUUACAGCAAAAAAAUGGAUGAUGGGUUCUUCAGAUAUUUUGGACUUUACAGGGUACAGGUGAUUGAGCCAGCUCCUUGGAAGGCAGCCAUGCCCGGUAAGUCAGCUUAUUGGAUUUUGUGAUUUCCUCUAUUUUUGUUUUCAUAUCACCUACCCUAUCUCCUAACCUUCAUUAAGACUAAAGUCUUAGAUCUUUUUCAGCUGUGACUCACUUAUUAAGGGAAUCACUUGUUCUGUCUUGGGCCAGAAUCUUUUUUCCUGUAGUUUUCAUGGUAGUGAUGGUUGUUAAUAACAAAAGUUUUAGGGCCAUUUGUUAACUAUAGUUUAUGAUAAAUUGGUAGUGUCUGUAUGCAUGGGCACAUACACAUGUGUGUGUGCACACACAUGUUGGGGGAAGUAGAGAAAUCCAAGGAUUAAAAACAAUAUAUUUUAUGCAUGUG
rnacentral:lncRNA from 1 species